AUUGAACGCUGGCGGCAGGCCUAACACAUGCAAGUCGAACGAGUGGCGGACGGGUGAGUAAUGUCGGGGAAAUUGCCUGAGGGAGGGGGAUAACUACUGGAAACGGUAGCCAAUACCGUAUACCACCGGAUGUUCCCAGAUGGUGUUAGCUAGUAGGUGGGGUAAAGGCGCACCUAGGCGACGGUCCCUAGCUGGUCUGCGAGGAUGACCAGCCACACUGGAACUGGGACACGGUCCAGGCUCCUGGGGGAGGCGGCAGUAGGGAGUAUUGCGCAAGGGGCGGAGGCCUGAUGAAGCCAGGCCGCGUGUAUGAAGAAGGCCUUCGGGUUGUAAAGUGCUUUCAGCGGGGAGGCGUUACCCGCAGAAGAAGCGCCGGCUAAAUACGUGCCAGCAGCCGCGGUAAUAC
rnacentral:rRNA from 1 species